rnacentral:snoRNA from 1 species
AGUAAUGAUGAUUGGCUUAAUUGUUCAACUGCUCUGAAUUGUGAUUAAGGUAUGCCUUUCUGAACAAAC